UACGUAGGGUGCAAGCGUUGUCCGGAAUUAUUGGGCGUAAAGAGCUCGUAGGCGGCUUGUCGCGUCGACUGUGAAAACCCACGGCUUAACUGUGGGCUUGCAGUCGAUACGGGCAGGCUCGAGUUCGGUAGGGGAGACUGGAAUUCCUGGUGUAGCGGUGAAAUGCGCAGAUAUCAGGAGGAACACCGGUGGCGAAGGCGGGUCUCUGGGCCGAUACUGACGCUGAGGAGCGAAAGCAUGGGGAGCGAACAGG
rnacentral:rRNA from 1 species